rnacentral:rRNA from 1 species
UACGUAGGGGGCUAGCGUUGUCCGGAUUUAUUGGGCGUAAAGAGCGUGUAGGCGGCCAGAUGAGGUCAGCUGUGAAAACUCGAGGCUCAACCUCGAGACGUCGGUUGAAACCAUCUGGCUAGGAGUCCGGAAGAGGAGAGUGGAAUUCCCGGUGUAGCGGUGAAAUGCGCAGAUAUCAGGAGGAACACCGGUGGCGAAGGCGGGUCUCUGGGCCGAAACUGACGCUGAGGAGCGAAAGCGUGGGGAGCAAACAGG